GUUAAUAAUGAAUCAUGAAUAAUAUACAGUACCAGUCAAAAGUUUGGACACACCUACUCAUUCAAGGGGUUUUAUUUAUCUUGAUUAUUUUCUACAUUGUAGAAUAAUAGUGAGUGUGCAAAGCUGUCAUCAAGGCAAAGGGUGGCUACUUUGAAGAAUCUCAAAUAAAAUAUAUAUUUUGUUUAUAUUUGUUUAACACUUUUUUUUGUUACUAUUUCAUAGUUUUGAUGUCUUGACUAUUAUUCUACAAUGUAGAAAAUAGGGGGGAAAAAAACUGGAAUGAGUAGGUUAAUCCAAACUUUUGACUGGUAUUGUAAAUCAUGCUUAUAUGACUUGUUUGUGUAACAGUAUAUAAGGACUGAGGGGGAACGCCCUCGUCAGAGUUUUCAUCAAUCUUGGAUUGAGUUUGUGAACCUCUCCAGCAGUCAUAACAAAGAUUUAUUCAUUUACUCUGAGUUUGAGUCCUUAGUGGUGAAUUUCGACGAGAAUUCUGGCGUCACAAAUUAUAUGUUUGAUUUCUCAACGUGAUCCGUCAGUGAAGGUCUGAGAGGGAACACCGGUGGUGCAUGCAUGGGAAUACGUAAAGGGAAAUUCCCUUCUCACUAAAAAAGGAUGAGGAUCCGCCCAUAAAAGACCUUCACUGUGGGAUGCAUCUGGGAGAAAACACAACAUCUACAAAACCUAGAAGGACAACUCAACUGAUUUCAUUUUCCCGGUUUUGACCAUUCUGCAGGCCCUGAACCUGAGCCGACCUGCCGUUCUGUACCUUGUCACACCACCCUGGAUUAUUGACCUCUGCCUGCCCUGACCCUGAGCAUGCCUGCCAUUCUGUAUCUUGUCACACCGCCCUGGAUUAUUGACGUCUGCCUGCCCUGACCCUGAGACUGCCUGCCGUUCUGUACCUUGUCACACCACCCUGGAUUAUUGACGUCUGCCUGCCCUGACCCUGAGACUGCCUGCCGUUCUGUACCUUUUGACUCUGAUUUGGAUUACUGACCUCUGCCUGCACUUGACCUGUCGUUUUGUCUGCCCCUGUUCUAGUAUUACACUUUGUUACUUCAACACUGUCUGCAUCUGGGUCCUUCCUAAAACAUGAUAGUACGAACUGGCCAUGACCAACCCAGCAGACACAGACCAGCUCCACAAUGUCGUCUCCAUGCAAGGAGCCACCAUUGGACGACACAAGGGGUUACUGCAAUGUCUUAUGGAGGGACUCCAUACUUUUAUUUUUUAUUUAUUUUUAUUUCACCUUUAUUUAACCAGGUAGGCAAGUUGAGAACAAGUUCUCAUUUACAACUGCGACCUGGCCAAGAUAAAGCAAAGCAGUUUGACACAGACAACAACACAGUUACACAUGGAGUAAACAAACAAGCCAAUAACACAAUAAACAAGUCAAUGAUACAGUAGAAAAAAGAGUCUAUAUACAGUGUGUGCAAAAGGCAUGAGGAGGUAGGCAAUAAAUAGGCCAUAGGAGCAAAUAAUUACAAUUUAGCAGAUUAACACUGGAGUGAUAAAUGAGCAUAUGAAGAUGUGCAUGUAGACAUACUGGUGUGCAAAAAGAGCAGAAAAGUAAAUAAAAUAAAAACAGAAAGGGGAUGAGGUAGGUAGAUAGGGUGGGCAAUGUACAGAUGGG
rnacentral:lncRNA from 1 species